CUACGGGACGCAGCAGUGAGGAAUAUUGCACAAUGGGGGGGACCCUGAUGCAGCAACGCCGCGUGGAGGAUGACGCAUUUCGGUGUGUAAACUCCUUUUAUAUGUCAAGAAAAUGACGGUAGCAUAUGAAUAAGCACCGGCUAACUCCGUGCCAGCAGCCGCGGUGAAUACGGAGGGUGCAAGCGUUACUCGGAAUCACUGGGCGUAAAGGACGCGUAGGCGGGUUGGAAAGUCAGGUGUGAAAUCCUACAGCUUAACUGUAGAACUGCACUUGAAACUUCUAAUCUAGAGUAUGGGAGGGGGAGAUGGAAUUAGUGGUGUAGGGGUAAAAUCCGUAGAUAUCACUAGGAAUACCUAAAGCGAAGGCGAUCUCCUGGAACAUUACUGACGCUAAGGCGUGAAAGCGUGGGGAGCAAACAGGAUUAGAUACCCGAGUAGUC
rnacentral:rRNA from 1 species